AGCGAACGCUGGCGGCAGGCCUAACACAUGCAAGUCGAGCGAGGACUUCGGUUCUAGCGGCGGACGGGUGAGUAACGCGUGGGAAUGUGCCCUUCUCUACGGAAUAGCCCUGGGAAACUGGGAGUAAUACCGUAUACGCCCUAUUGGGGAAAGAUUUAUCGGAAAAGGAUCAGCCCGCGUUGGAUUAGGUAGUUGGUGGGGUAAUGGCCUACCAAGCCGACGAUCCAUAGCUGGUUUGAGAGGAUGAUCAGCCACACUGGGACUGAGACACGGCCCAGACUCCUACGGGAGGCAGCAGUGGGGAAUCUUAGACAAUGGGGGCAACCCUGAUCGAGCCAUGCCGCGUGAGUGAUGAAGGCCUUAGGGUUGUAAAGCUCUUUCAGCUGGGAAGAUAAUGACGGUACCAGCAGAAGAAGCCCCGGCUAACUCCGUG
rnacentral:rRNA from 1 species